rnacentral:lncRNA from 1 species
AACAAGCUAAAUUAAAAAAGCACAAAAAUUCUCUAUUUUCCUAAAUAAUCAUAAAAUGUGGUAUGUAUACUAGUUAUAAUUAAAUAACUAAAUCGGUCAAAAGUUGCAAAUUAAAGUAUUAUAUGUUUUUAUUUUUAAUAGAGAAAUUAAAGUAACAAAAAACCUAAAAUUCUAUAUUUCUAUUUUUUUCUAAACAAGCUAAAUUAAAAAAGCACAAAAAUUCUCUAUUUUCUUAAAUAAUCAUGAAAUGUGGUAUGUAUACUAGUUAUAAUUAACUAACUAAAUCGGUCAAAAAUUGCAAAUUAAAGUAUUAUAUGUUUUUAUUUUUUUCUAAACUAAUUAAAAUAAAAAAAACAUAUUACCACUAUUUCUCUAAAAAAACGCGUCGCUUUUGAAAUGGCGAUGAAGCUAAUAACCUCUUAAAAAAACCAUAAAAUAAAAAAUAAUAUACAUAACACUAGGAAAUGACAUACGCCGCUUCUAAAUGUUGAGAAGAUGAAGCUAGUGACCUCUUAACAAGUCGAUGACGGUGUAGAAACGAUGAAAUGAAUCAAUAGCCGAAGAUGAGAGCAAGCUAGAACAAGCAACUCCAAAUGAAGAACACAGCAAAAGAGUGAAGAUCGAUGGGCUCGGCCACGGGAAGAAGAGUUCAAAUAUGGGGAGGGACAUUUAAUCCCGGUUCCUUUUAAAAACCGGGACUAAAUUCCAACACUAGUCUCGGCCGGUGGGACGGACCGGGACAAAAUCUUUUAAUCCCGGUUGGUAAUACCAACCGGGACUAAAGGCUUGGCUUUUGUCCCGGACUCUGUUUUGGCCGAGAUUAUUGUUCAUUUUGGGCAAGUGACCAAAGGCCUGUUCUGUAGUAGUGGAUACCCACCUGAGAGAAAAGAAAAAGAAAAUAUAGAGCAUCUCAUUCUCUUCAAAAAGUUUCAAAAGAGCAAGACAGGUAUGUAUCCCCUCAAAAGAGCAUAAGUAGAAUUAGACUUUCACCAUUAUUAUCACCAUCAUUACCAUGCAUCAUUCAUUCGCCACACAUGCACAUCUUGAUUUGACUUAUUGACUUGUUCUUCUGGAUCCAUGGUUUGACUAUGCAAUAAAUGUCUUGUAAGUAUCUAUUAGCUGUCUCCCACCUAUGAGCUCCAGAUAUCAAAACCUUAUUAGAGUAGGGUGAGAGAGAAGGCAAUGCUACUACGCCUCAUACCAAAAAUACUACAUACUUUGAGAGAAGGCAUAUACUAUUACUGCCUUGGUAAGGAUCCAGAAAUACCACAAAAGACAGACUAGAGAGAGUCAUACAAGGAAUCUCUGAGUUUUAUUUGAAAAUCUGCAAAAACUCCAGAGCUAUAGUUGAUCAAGAACAUGAGACAUGGCGCUUGAUUAGACCGUUCUAUCUUUUAGCUGCUCAAGACACAAGUGACGGUUGUAAGCCCC